AAGGCAUAAUGCAGCCAAGGAUGACUUGCCGACUAAACUCCCAGUUUUGCUGCUUAUCUCAAAGCAAAGGAAAGGUUUGGAACGAAGUUGGCAAGUUGUCUUUGGCUACAUAAUUACAUUCU
rnacentral:pre_miRNA from 1 species